GUGAAUCAUCAAAUUUUUGAACGCAAAUUGCACUCUCUUCGGAGAGUAUGCCUGUUUGAGGGUCAGCCUAAAAAAAUCGACAUAGUCGCUGUUUCGCGGUGACAUUCGUCGGAAAUUGGGUCAACUUAAACCUUUUGGUUUUAAGCGGCUUAAAAUUUUCUUUACGAUUCCACGAACGUUUCUAAGAUUUUACUCCUCACACACGUUUACUGUAUCUAUCUAUAUUAGACGUGGCUGUUGC
rnacentral:misc_RNA from 1 species